UACAGAGGUCUCAAGCGUUGUUCGGAUUCAUUGGGCGUAAAGGGUGCGUAGGCGGCGCGGUAAGUCGGGUGUGAAAUCUCGGGGCUUAACUCCGAAACUGCAUUCGAUACUGCCGUGCUUGAGGACUGGAGAGGAGACUGGAAUUUACGGUGUAGCGGUGAAAUGCGUAGAUAUUCGGAAGAACACCAGUGGCGAAGGCGACUCACUGGACAUGUAUUGACGCUGAGGCACGAAGGCCAGGGGAGCAAACGGG
rnacentral:rRNA from 1 species